UGAGUACACAGAAGUGGCCCUGGACCUGUGCCCUCGCUGCUGCUCAUCAUCUGGACCAACCAGAGAGGGUGGAAAGAAACACAGACAGCCACAGGUGACGAACAGAGCCCAACACAUGCAGCUGGUUCUGGGACCUACAUCUCAGUUCCCUGAAAGUGCUACAGCUGUGUCUGGGCACCGUGUUCAGUCCUGAAUUCUCACACCUCAUGCCAUUGAGCACCAAUGACUAUGAUGCCUCCGUUAUUUCAUGGUUCUAAAUCUUAGUGAGCCCAAGAGUGAAAGCUUCAUGCUCCAGCAUCUCUACUGGAUGACAAAGUAUGGCUGUCGACAUGCAUGAAACUACUACAUAGCCUCAGGCUGCGGAUGGCAUCCACAGACAAUGCCCUUCUUAGAAGACCCAUGUCACCACAACUCCUGAAACCCUAAGUUCAGAAAAGGAGGAAAAAACACCAAGAUGGACGUUCACUGUCACUGAUACUAAACCAGAUACACUGAAGUGUCUCCUCAGCGCUGCCCAUGCUCGCUCCUGCGCAAGUGCCCUAGCAGACAGAGGGCUUAGCAGCCACAUCAACCCCCCGUCUAACCCCCAGGAACUGAGCUAUAAAAAUAGGACACUAAAUGAUAAACCAGAAGAACUG